rnacentral:tRNA from 1 species
UCGUGGGGACCAAAGUAUUGGAUAAUGGUUUCGGCCCAUUAGUUGAAUUUCUAUCCCCCACGUU